rnacentral:rRNA from 1 species
GAUGAACGAUAGCUACAGGCUUAACACAUGCAAGUCGAGGGACCGGAGCACGGGUGAGUAAAACGUAUCCACCAUGCCCUUUAGUAGGGGAUAGGCUGUCGAAAGAACGAUUAAUACCCGAGAUAAAGGAUGGGGACGCGUUCAAUUAGGUUGUUGGUGAGGUAACGGCUCACCAAGCAUUCGAUGGAUAGAGGUUCUGAGAGGAAGGUCCCCCACAGUGGAACUGAGACACGGUCCAAACUCCUACGUGAGGCAGCAGUGAGGAAGAUUAGUCAAUGGGCGCUAGCCUGACCCAGCCAAGUAGCGUGAAGGAUGAAGGCUUAUGGGUCGUAAACUUCUUUUAUAUAAGAAUAUGUAUUAUAUGAAUAAGGAUCGGCUAACUCCGUGCCAGCAGCCGCGGUAAUUC